GACGAACGCUGGCGGCGUGCUUAACACAUGCAAGUCGAGCGGUAAGGCCCUUUCGGGGGUACACGAGCAGCGAACGGGUGAGUAACACGUGGGUGACCUGCCCUCAGCUCUGGGAUAAGCCUGGGAAACCGGGUCUAAUACCGGAUAUGACUCCAUGACGCAUGUUGUGGGGUGGAAAGCCUUGUGCGGCUGAGGAUGGGCCCGCGGCCUAUCAGCUUGUUGGUGGGGUGAUGGCCUACCAAGGCGACGACGGGUAGCCGGCCUGAGAGGGCGACCGGCCACACUGGGACUGAGACACGGCCCAGACUCCUACGGGAGGCAGCAGUGGGGAAUCUUGCGCAAUGGGCGAAAGCCUGACGCAGCGACGCCGCGUGAGGGAUGACGGCCU
rnacentral:rRNA from 1 species